UCCUCCUACCUUGGCCUCCCAAAGUGCUGAGAUUACAGAUACCCACAACAGGUGAAGGAGAGAAAGCAGUCCCACAGACACCCUUCUCUGCUGGAAAGUCCUUCCUAUCUGACUCCAGUCCCACUUGCUGGAGGAGUUCCCCUCAUUUUGUUUCUGAGACAGCCUUCUUCUGUGUAACAACUAUUCAGAGACUUGAAAUCUGCCUCUCUGGUUUCUUCUGUCUUUGCAAAUGUCACAUUAAAGAGAACAAGGUAACUUGG